AGCAAACGCUGGCGGCGUGCCUAACACAUGCAAGUCGUACGAGGAAACACGUCCUGGAUGUGGAGUAAAGUGGCGCACGGGUGAGUAACACGUGGGUAACCUGCCCCCGACGAUCGGGAUAACUAGCCGAAAGGCUAGUUAAUACCGGAUAAGACCACAUGAGCUACGGCUCAAGUGGCCAAAGUCGGCCUCUCAACGAAGCCGGCACUCGAGGAUGGGCCCGCGGACCAUUAGCUUGUUGGCAGGGUAACGGCCUACCAAGGCUAAGAUGGUUAGCUGGUCUGAGAGGAUGAUCAGCCACACUGGAACUGAGACACGGUCCAGACUCCUACGGGAGGCAG
rnacentral:rRNA from 1 species